GAUGAACGCUAGCGGCAGGCUUAACACAUGCAAGUCGAGGGGCAGCAUAAUGGUAGUAAUACUAUUGAUGGCGACCGGCGGACGGGUGCGUAACGCGUAUGCAACCUACCCUUUACAGGGGGAUAACACUGAGAAAUCGGUACUAAUACCCCAUAAUAUUCUGGGAGGCAUCUUUCGGAGUUGAAAGCUUUGGUGGUAAAGGAUGGGCAUGCGUUGUAUUAGCUAGUUGGUAAGGUAACGGCUUACCAAGGCGACGAUACAUAGGGGGACUGAGAGGUUAACCCCCCACAUUGGUACUGAGACACGGACCAAACUCCUACGGGAGGCAGCAGUGAGGAAUAUUGGUCAAUGGACGGAAGUCUGAACCAGCCAUGCCGCGUGCAGGAAGACGGCUCUAUGAGUUGUAAACUGCUUUUGUACGAGGGUAAACGCAGAUACGUGUAUCUGCCUGAAAGUAUCGUACGAAUAAGGAUCGGCUAACUCCGUG
rnacentral:rRNA from 1 species